UUGUCGAAAUCUGCAAAGCAGAGAAUGACUUGCGAACAAGUGAAAAUCAUGGUUGGAAGAGGAGGCACCACGGUCGCCCUUGUCUUUCAACUGAUCAUUGGAGGCGGCGGCGGUUGGGCCUCGUGCCCCCCCGUUCGUGCCUCUCAUGGUCCCAAUCCAACAUACCUCAGCGCGGAAUGCGCCAAGGAAAACAAACAGAAGGUACGCUGCCCCUUGCACCGUAAAUGGUUGUGUGUGGCUUGCGUAUUUCGCUUAAUCUAUUGUUACAACGACUCUCGGCAACGGAUAUCUUGGCUCUCGCAUCGAUGAAGAACGUAGCAAAAUGCGAUAGCUGGUGUGAAUUGCAGAAUCCCGUGAACCAUCGAGUCUUUGAACGCAAGUUGCGCCUGAAGCCGUCAGGCCAAGGGCACGCCUGCCUGGGUGUCACCCUCCCCCUUGGCCAAAUACGCACGCCUCAUCUCGCCGAAAAAUGGGAAGAGUGGUAUUUGGGCGGAUAAAUGGCCUCCCAUGGGGAAUAUUUUCGUGGUUGGCCCAAAAUAAGCACUUGGCUCUUGGGAAGCCACGACAAGCAUUGGCGAAAAACUGCGGUGAUUCCUUGAUCGUUGUUGUCGUGCUAGACUUUGUAGCGUGCUAUAAAAAUACCUCGGUGCUUGCAUCUUAAGAUUGCGACCCCAG
rnacentral:rRNA from 1 species